GCUGGCGGUAUGCUUAAUACAUGCAAGUCGAACGGUAACAGCAGAGCUUGCUCUGGCUGACGAGUGGCGGACGGGUGAGUAACGCUUGGGAAUCUGCCUAGUAGUGGGGGACAACACGGGGAAACUCGUGCUAAUACCGCAUACGUCCUACGGGAGAAAGUGGGGGAUCUUCGGACCUCACGCUAUUAGAUGAGCCCAAGUCGGAUUAGCUUGUUGGUGAGGUAACGGCUCACCAAGGCGACGAUCCGUAGCUGGUUUGAGAGGAUGACC
rnacentral:rRNA from 1 species